GACAAACGCUGGCGGCGUGCUUAACACAUGCAAGUCGAACGGACAGGCCCUGCUUUUGUGGGGUGCUCGAGUGGCGAACGGGUGAGUAACACGUGAGUAACCUGCCCUUGACUUUGGGAUAACUUCAGGAAACUGGGGCUAAUACCGGAUAGGAGCUCCUGCUGCAUGGUGGGGGUUGGAAAGUUUCGGCGGUUGGGGAUGGACUCGCGGCUUAUCAGCUUGUUGGUGGGGUAGUGGCUUACCAAGGCUUUGACGGGUAGCCGGCCUGAGAGGGUGACCGGCCACAUUGGGACUGAGAUACGGCCCAGACUCCUACGGGAGGCAGCAGUGGGGAAUAUUGCACAAUGGGCGGAAGCCUGAUGCAGCAACGCCGCGUGCGGGAUGACGGCCUUCGGGUUGUAAACCGCUUUCGCCUGUGACGAAGCGUGAGUGACGGUAAUGGGUAAAGAAGCACCGGCUAACUACGUG
rnacentral:rRNA from 1 species